AGAAGCAAAAUGUUUGUUAUGGGAAAAAUCAGCAAACACAAGGCUUUCCACCCACUCAGAGAGCUCUAUCAAGAUGUGAGCAGGGGUAGCUUUCCAAACCCUGUUUGUGUGUGUGUGUGUGUGUGUGUGUGUGUGUUUGCCUUGCAUGUGAGUGAAAAAUGGGGUGAGGCUGCACGUACUGUCUCAUAACCUCCUCGUGUACUUGCCGAUGGGUCUUGGUAUGGUUCUGUGGGACUAGUUUUGGAUCUGCAGGUUCUGUUUUAUGGGUAUCUCUUGAGUCCAGGUAGUACAAGGGCUGGGAGAUGGGUGUGCUGAGUCAGACUGCCUGGGUAGAAUCAGAACUGUAGGUACUGAAGGUACAUGACUGAACUCCUUUAAGGUAUUGAUUUACUCAUCUGUGAAAUGGGGCUCAUAAAGGUUCCUAUAGCAUAGGAAAAAUUAAAUGGGAUGGUAUUUAUAAACCUUGAAUGUGUUCCUUUGCAAAGUGCUGAGUGUUUUGUAAGUGCUAACUUCUGCUGUGAUCACGUUUUUGGAUAUAGAGUGUCCCUCUAUCCAGUUGUGCCAAUAUUAAUGCCCUGAUUACUUCCUGAUGGAUGAUUUUUAAUCAUGUGCUCUUGCAAACAAAACAGUGUUGGUUGACAGAAAUUCUUGUAGCUCAGUUUUGAAGUAGUCUGUUAAAUUGAAUCCGGGAUCACUGGGCUAUGGGAUAGGCCUAUUUUUAAGGCUUUUCAUAAAACUGCCCUCCAAAAAGAAUGCAUUUUAUUUUUUAAAAAAUAUCUAUUUAUUUACUUGAGAGGCAGAGUUAUACACAGAGAGAGGGAAAGACAGAGACAGAGGUCUUCUAUUCACUGGUUCAUUCCCCGAUUGGCCACAAUGGUUGGAGCUGGGAUGAUCUGAACAGGAGCCAGGAGUUUCUUCCAGGUCUCCCAUGUGGGUACAGGGUCCCAAGCACUUGGGCCAUCUUCCACUGCUUCCCCAGGCCCUCAGCAGGGAGCUUGAUUGUAAGUGGAGCAUCUGGGACUUGAAGUGGCACUGAUAUGGGAUGCUGGUGCCAUAGGCAGAUGCUUAACCUACUAUGCCACAGUACCAGUCCCAAUACGUUUUAUCUUGAAAAAGGGAUUUCUUAAUUACCAAGUGUGAAAUACUGAUUUUCAUUAUCAGAAUAUUUCUAACAUAUUUGUUUCAAGAAUCUAUGAGUUAAUUAUGUGGAGUCUAAAAGUCCUAGAGCUUGUGAGUCUGGCAUUUUAAUAGGAAAAAGUCACUGGUCCUAAAACACAGCCCCAAGUUCCACUACUACUUGAGCUGGACCAGAGGUCAGGUGUUCCUCAAUCUAACAGGGGUGCUGGUCUUUAGUCUGCAAAAUACAGCAGUUGUGUCUGCACAGAUGGAGCUGACCACAGUUUGUGUGUGAGCUCCCCUGGAGCCAUGGGUACAGGAGAGGAUGGAGGGGGGCCUUGGUCUCAGGUGGCUGUGGGAGAGGCUGUGCAACUGGGCAACCAUGCAGUUGGCCCCCAACACACCUGCAGGGCACAGACUCUGCUGAGCCUGAGCUGGGUGGCUAUGCAGCCACGGUAGGGUGGUCCUGGGGCAGGGAAUCCCAUGCAUUGUGCCACCGUCUGCUUCGAGAAGUCCCCUGUGGUAUAGGGAAGGACGGUACAUAUGCCCUGCCUCUUGAGGUACAGCCCCCCACCCCGUGUUUGUGUGUGUGUGUGUGUGUGUGUACAUCCCAACAACCAUUGGUGGCUAAGCUGACUUCUACAGAUACAGGUGGGGGGGCACAGAGCAGGAAGGGGGCAGAAGCAGGACCUUAUUCCUGGAGGGUGCAGAGACUUGGUGAUUUAUAUAUUCUGUUCACAUUUACUGAGAACCCACUGUGUUAGGGUCUGCAGAAAGAGCUGGGGACCUGAGGUGACAGAGGCAGGUGUGUGUCUGUCCCUAAGUAGCUCAGUCUCUAGUGGGUUAUGCAGUAGCCACAGGGGUUGAUGGGAGGUCCCACAGAGGCAAUGUGAUAGAGGCAAGCUGGUGCCUGCGACUCGUCAGAUGGCUUACUGGAGGAAGCGACCUGGUGUUGGGCUUGAAGGAUGAGCAGUUGGCCGAUUAGGGCCCUUCGUCAUCCUUGCUGCUCACACAGGAUCUUCGGGGAGCAGUCCCUGCCCCAGGUCCUUCUCUGACCCAGGAUCUCAUGUGGCUAUACCUGGUCUUGGCCCUCAGACAUCCCAAUGGCUGUAUCCCAGGGUCCUUGCCCUGGCCUCACCCUUUGCAGGCUGUGGUCAGGCAGCUGUCUGUCCUGUUGCCCCUGCUCCAGUGUUCGCUUUCCAGACCUAGCUGUGCUAACACCCUUCCGACUGCAGCCACUCCAUGUCUCGCUCAAUUUCCCUGUGCCCACUGUGCCUGCAGCAGCCUCACGACACCCUGUGUUCCUGUUUACCUGGGGGUAUACUGUAAGAGUCUCUGCUCUGCUGGUUCUCUCAAGAUUGGCUCUGUGUCUUCUCACUGGUGCUUGGCUCAGAGCAGGACUCAUUCCUGGCUAAGUGGAGGUGAUUACCAGGAGAGUGGUUUUCAGGAAGCCCCCAGGUAUGUGGAUGGACACCACACUCUCAGUCUCCUGAGCGGAUGUGGCUUGCUGGGCAAGGCUGUUUCCUGUCCUGGAGCUGGGAGACAGACACAUCAGUGUCUCUUCUCUUACACCUCCCACUCACUUCUUUCCUUUGCUGGUCCCCAUUCGGCACAGUCCUUCACACUGCCUGCCUGCCCAGAACCUUGUCCCAGGUACUGAAGGGCUAGGGUCUCCAGAACAACUCCUGCAUUUGUUGUUUUUUUUUUUUUCCCCAAUAGCAUAGAAGAUGUGUUACAAUUUUGUUUUUAUUUUUUAAAAAGAUUUAUUUAAAAGACGAGCAACAGAGAUCUUCCAUCCACAGUUUCACUCCCCAAACUGCCACAACAGCCUGGUCUGGGCCAGGUUGAAGCCAAGAGUCAGAAACUAUCCUGAUCUCUCAUGUGGGUGGGAGGGCCCAAGCACUUGUGCCGUCUUCCACUGCCUUGCCAGUUGGAAUAGCAAGGAACUAGAUCGGAAGCGGAGCAUCACAGACUUGAUCUGGCACUCCAAUAUGGGAUGCUGGUGUGGCAAGCAGCAGCUUAACCCGCUGCACCAUGUAGCCCCGGGUUUUGUUGUUGACACUGGGAUUGUUCAGGGAUGCUGAGUUUCUCAGCCCGGAGGAAACCUCAGGGACAGCUGGGUGGGACUGAAUUAGGCUUACGGCAGCCCGGGGGCAGCAGAGUCCCUGCCACCCAAAUGGGAGUGGAGGAUGCUCUGAGACUUCCCCCACACAGGGGACAGAGCAUCAGGUCCCAUUUGUUCCGCCCUUUCUUCACUCAGCAACACCCCUGCAGAUGACAUCUUUGCAUCGUGAAGCAAAAUUAAUUCCAGAGAAAGCCCUCCAUGUAAAUGAGAAAAAAGGUCUCAAAGGACAACGCAGGGGGAAAUUUUCUUAAAUUCAUACAAGAAUGGGCCUCCUUGGCAGCAGUCAAGGAGAUGCGCAUCAGUGCUGCAACAUCGUGGCACUUUGGUUUUGGUGCUACCCUUUAAGGAAAUGUUUAUUUUUAAUAGUUACAUCCAAACAAAAUAAGGAAGGAGCACUUUCAUAAGCCUUGGUUGUGUGUUGUCCCUACAAGGGUUUAGGGAAGGUAUACUUAGAGUGUGUGUCCAGAGGGAUUGAAGUAAAUCACUUGAUCCCAUUUAUCCACCUCAGAAAGUCUCUUCAAAAGCCAGUGGUGGAGAAACGCCACAUGGAAUGAUGUGCCUUGGUAAAAACAGUUACCCUGAGUGCCCAGACCGGGGAUGAGGAAACCAUGGAAGAGCUCAUUGCAAUGCUGUGGUGGUGUGAAGACACGAUUGCAGGCCCUGGGCUUCCCAAGGAGAGAGCAGGGCUGUGCAGACACUGGUGACAAGGAUGUCAUCAGCCCUGCAUAAAGGAUGGUGAGGAAAGUGACGCUCGCCAUCCUCUCUGAGUAGUGUGGCCCUGGGCAUGGAUUGCAAGCUUCUCUGCUCCCUUCCCAACUCAUCAGAACGUCCUUAGAACAGAAACUCAGGAGCAUUCAACUCAGAGAGGCCUUGGCAGUUUAGGUCAGUCACAUGCUGAGGGCCCAGGCUCCAUCUUCAGAGCUGCCCCCUUUUGCUUGACACACAUCAGUUUACCCCUGCUGAUAUCACGCCGUCGUCUUCUGCCUUGCUGUGUCUCCACCUCUCCUGCCAGGCCAGGCCUCAUGUUCUCAGGAGGGUCCUGGAGCUGCCCAUUGCUGGCCUGCUUUACAGCCUGCUCACCACCCAGCCUCUAGCCACACCCUUUAAUUCUUGAGUUUCUAGAAAGCUCCAGGUGCUUCUCAACUCGAGGCUUUGAAGCUACCCAUUCUGCUGGGAAAGUUCGUCCUCUCCCCUUGGCCGGCCGGUUGUGCCUGUUUACUUCGAACCUGCAAAGGUGUUGAUUUGCAGGGAGGGAAGCGUUCCUGGACAGUGAAUAUCUUGCUGUCUCCCAGCCAGGGAGAGGCCCUGCUGUCUGUCUGUCGCCUCCUUUUCUCUCUGAUCAUUCCUUACACUUACAAAGUCUUGUUCAAGGUCUCCCCCAUCAGCCCCUGAGCUCUGGAUGGCAGAGGUUGCUCUGUAUCUCAUUAACUGUCCCAUGUGGUCAUAGGGCUUGGCAAACAGAAGGUGCUCAAAGAAGGCACGCCUGGAUGGAUGACGAGCGAAUCCGUGUGCAUCACGAUUUUGUGUCAAGAAAUUAGAUCCUGCAAUCAGAAUUACUGUCUUGGAAUCCUGGCCUACCGCUCUGUGCCCCUGCCCCUUCUCAUGUAAAAAGAGGAGGAGGAGGAUGCUGAUAAUAACAGUAGUAGCAUUAAGUAACACUUGGACUUGAUGAGGACUAGAGAACCCUCCAGGGUAGGCAUGAAGUGCAGGUCCCUGUCAUGUUGCACAUGCCCCGUCUGUGUUUACUCCUGUUUUGUUUCAUGGUUAUUGAAUGUCCAGAGCUUGCCCCUCCUCUGUGGUGUGCUUGGCCAGUUCCUUUGCUUUAGCAUUUACAGGCUGCUCAAUUGGCACUUCCUCAGGGGCAAAGCCUGCUCUGGAUGCUGCUCUAGUGGUCAUUUCUUUAAUUCUCAAAACAACCUCCUGGAGUAGACCAUCCCCAUUUCACAGGGACUGGGUCGGGACUCUGCCCCGUGUAAUUGGCAAGUGACAAAACAGGGAUUCCAUCCGAGCAGUAUGGCUCUGGGGUCCUGACCAGAAUGGCGGCUGCAGGCUGCCUGCCUCCUGGAAGUAGGGGCACCCUCCCCACUCCUGCCUGUCUUCACCGCGCCUCCCCUUCCCACCACGCUGCUGCUAUCUGAUCCUCAGCUCCUUUCCUUGGAGGCUGUCCCAGGGUUUGUGCCCAGCUAGGGUGGCCAGAUUUAAGCAGGAUACAGGAUAAAUUUGUUGGGUCAAACUUAUGCUAAAAAUUAUUUGUUGUUUAUCUGAAAUUCAAAUUUAACUGCACGUCCUAGACCAGCGCCAAAGGUGGUCUGCAGCCCUUCCGCAGUAAUCUUAGAUACACAGACUUGAGCUCCCAAGGGUCUGUCAUGGGCCAGGCUUAGGGAGAAGAAGGCUGGAAGAAGCACCGUUCUCUCUCUUAUAGGGUAGAGUGGGCAUUUGUGCUGUAAUGGGGAAGAGAAGGGAGACUGACAGGCAGGAGUGGGGGGAAGAUGUUCUGGGUGGAGGCCACAGCUUGCACAGAGGCUCAGAAGUAUGGAAGGUCAGGGGUUCCCCAGGACCUUGAGAGAGCACUAGGGGUGGAGGGCAGGGCUGCUGGUAGGCAGAGGUGUGAGGGGGAAGUGGAGUUUAGCUCCCACUUUUGCAGGGCUGUGAACGCCUGAGGAUUGGGCUGCAUCCAGAAUGUCUCAGGGACACACUCGGAAGUUCCCUGUGGGAGGCUUGCGUGGCUGGUUGUGGCCUCCCUCUUGGUGGUGGGUGAAGGAAGGGUGGCAAAGGGGGUUCUGAGGCGAGAGAAACCUUGGUCAAGGGAAGUCUUUGGAGGUCAGGAGAUCAAAGCUUUAUCUCCCCAUUCCUGGAAUUCUUUGCCUUCAGAAAACACAAGACAGAGAUGGAAAAGGAAGGUUGGUUCUUCGUUCUGUUUGUUACCAAGAGGGCAGUAUUGGCGAUACUGGCAUUUUUAUGUUUGCUAGUCUCUGUCAGUGGGGUCUCCUGCUCCUGGAGGAAGCAGCACAGCCGGAGGGAGGAAGUAAUGGGCUUGGGGUGAGGGGUUGCAGCUCCUUUGCUUUUAAAUCAGUGUUUCAGGCAGCCCCUGUAGGAGGUCAGGGUCAAGGGUACUGUUCAGAGGAUUUACCUGCCAGUCGAACACUACCCUUAAUUAAUCUUGUACGAAGAAAACUUUUCAAGGAACUGUUUGAGUUAUGUUGCAGUCUUCUGUCUUAGCAGCUAGGCCUUGCUUCUGAACACGACCAGGUUCUUAACGGUGAGCGAUUUAAGGCCGUAAAAGAAUUGUCAUAAACAGCUCCCUGGAGCCAAGAGCACAGCCCAGAUUUUAAGCACAUAAUGGAAUCAUAUCAAAAGCAAGGCGGGGCGGCAGGAGCCAUAAAUCCUCCAAGUGCAAAAUCUGUCCAUUGUGAAGCUUGCACUGAAGGGAAACCAGAUGUGGAAGCCGUAGAGGGGCAGGAAUGGGGGGUGGAGGAAGGGCCCUUGCAGAAGCAGAUGCCACCUACUGCGCCCUGGUGGGGACCCAAGUGCCAGAGGCUCGGGCUUCGGAAAGCAGGGCAGGGAGGUCUGGUGUUGGAGGGGAAAGCCGGAGGCCCAAGGGCUGCAGUUGCUGUUGCUGCGUCUGCACUCACGGAAGUGUUUGUAACUUUUCCCUGGAUUUUUGUCUUUGAAGACAUAACAUUUGGAGCAGUUUUUUAAAAAGGUAUUUGAGAUCCCAUGAAGAGAACACACAUGUUUGUUCUACAGAGGAUAAACGUAACCAACACAUGUGGAAAUCCCUUUAGAAUGGGGUAGAGAGUACACUUGUGCACCUCGCUAUCCUGGGCCUGAGAUUCAGGUGUGUUUUAUUCACAUAGGCAAAAUUGUGUGAAAGCAGCAUGUUGAGUUGUGGCUGGGUACCUGCUCCAGCCCAGGGUGGCAGUAGCUGCAAGCCAGCAGCUCACUGUGAUGCCUCAGUGUAAGGCACCCAUGACCCCAGGCUCCAGGCUGUAAAGAACACUGUGUGUGUGUGCACAUGCGUGUACAAAGAUUUAUUUUAUUUAUUUGAAAGUCAGGAUUAGAGGGAGAGACAGAAAGAGAGAGAGAGAGAGAGAGAGAGAGAGAGAGAGAUCUACUGGUUCACUCCCCAGAUGGCUGUGAUGGCUGGGGCUGGGCCAUGCUGAAGGCAGGAGUCAGGAAUUUCUUCCAGGUCUCCUAUGUAGGCAACAGGGGCACAAGCACUUGGGCCAUCCUCCGAUGCUUUCCCAGGCCCAUUAGCGGAGAGCUAGAUUGGAAAUGGACCAGCUGGGACUCGGACCGGUGCUGAUGCAGGAUGCCACUACUGCAGGUGGAGGUUUUAUUCACUGGACCACAACUCCAGCCCCAACUUUAUAUAAUAAAGAGAUUUAUUUGUUUACUUGAAAGGCAGAGUUAUAGACAUAGAGAAGUAUAGACAGAGAUAUCAUCCAUCCACUGGUUUAUUUGCCAAAUGGCCAAAAUAGUCAGAACUGGGCCAGCCGGAAGCUGUGGGUCUGGAGCUUCUUCAGGGGUCUCCCAUGUUGAUGGCAGGGGUACAAACACUUGGGCCAUCAUCCUCUGCUUUCCCAGGUGCAUUAGCAGGAAGCCAGAUUAGAAGUGGGGUAGCCAGGACUUAAACCAGUGCCCAUAUGGGAUGCCGGUGUCUUAGGUGGUGGCCUAACCUUUUACACCACAGUGCUAGCUCUAAGAACAAAGGAAGCACUGAUAUGAGUUCUGGGGCCUAAGGGGGUGGCUGUGGGACACUGCCAUUCAGAUAGGGCUCUAGGAGAGCUUACCUGGAGCUGGUAGUUGAAACAGACUUUGGAGGAAUGGGAGGAUUUAGACAGGUAGAGAAGGGGUGGGUAAGGACAGCACUGACGACACAGCAGCAGAGAUAAGACUCUAGGGGUCAGAUGUGUGUGGUGGGCGGGCUUAGCUGGUGGAUAGGAAGGUGGGCAACAAGGCCGUUUCGAGGAAAGGUUUGCAUGCUGGUGCCAGCCACGUGUAGUUUGAUUGACAGUGCAGUUUUGUGCUUAGUUCCGCAUGAGGCCAUUUCAUCUCCUAUUUCUUAAAACGAACGGUCAAGCACAAAUCUGAGUAAGCCAUGCAGUUCUUAAGACAGCCCAGCAGAACCAAGAAGAAAGGCCUCUGUGGAGACAUCUUCCAUUCCGAGAACCAGCCUGUGGGUCCUGCAAGCCUGUGGCAGGGGCUUGUGCACCUGUCUUGGCUUACAUUAUUUCAUUGACACUCCCACCCCCACUGAAUCCCCACUUAAAGAGGUUGGGAGGCUUAAAGGACCCUGUGGGAAACACUCAGACUUUGUUUUUCUAAAAACUUUAUUCUUUAUAAAAAUACUUAUUUGCUCUUUUUUUUUUUCCACUCAGACUUUCUGAAACAUGAACAUUUCCUGGCUUAGUGGUUUUUAAUUUGAGGAUAACAGAAAUUAUACGUAUAUAUUCUCUAGUACCUGCAGUUGGGGAAGACUUCAGGCCUUUGCCCACCCAUUUUGCUCAACCACAAGCUCCCCGAAAGCCAUGAAAAGUGAGUUGUGUCCCCUGCUGCCCGGUUUCUGGCCACGGGCUCAGUGCUAUGGGGGCACUUGGUGGGCUUCCCAAAAGUGGGAAUGCUGCAGGCUAGGCUCUGGCAGCUCAGCCAACAGAGACCUGGUUGGCUUCCGGCAGCUGCUGGUCGCAUGCGUGGGCGUUUGGGGCUUCCUGAGGCUGCCCUGUUCUCCGUGUUUGGUGACCGACGUCUUCUCACAGGCGUUGACUUUUGGAUGUUGUGUGUUGCCCAAAGAGAUUUUACAGGCACGUUUUCAGUCCAGUCCGGCGGCUCUCUUGAUGCCUUGAGUUCCCAGGUUGCUUUGGUGAAAGAGAGAGACUGAAUUUUUGGAAGUGCCUGUAGAGUUGGGUUUUGGGGUGGUCUUUCCUGUGAAGCCUCAUGAGGGAGAAGCUGGCCUCUGAGGCAGGAAGGGCAGUGAGCAGCCCCUUCCCUGCCCACACCCAGCACCUGGGCUGCAGGGCUGCAGGGCUGCAGAGCUGCAGCUGGAGGUGGGUGAGGAGCCAGAGGAGGGCUCUCCCCUCCAUUGCUGCCCAUCCCUGCCUGCGAGGGCCUGGGAAGUGCUGUACAGUCCCUUGGUGUCCUGGCUCGGCCUCUGAGCCUGUAAAACUGCUUGGAGACCCCAAGAAUGCACACGCUCCCCCUUUAUUUGUAGAUUGUUUUUUUAAUGAAGGCACCUGGUCCCCUUAUGCUCCGGGCGCCUCCGAGGGCCCAGGGAUGAGGUAGUGGAGGAGAACAGAGGCCUGCUGGGGGCUGUUUAGCCGGAGCGAUUCCAGGGCUGCUGUUAGCUGCCCCUCCAACCCCCAACACCUGGGCCGGCUGCAUUGCUCCCAGGUUCUUAGGAAAGAUAGUAUCCUGCCUGUGAGGCCUGAGAUCUAGACACUUCCAGCGCUCAGGCAGAGUGGACCAAGUGGACCUAAUGUGUAUGUCUCCUGGGGUUCUCACUUCUGUGCAUUGUGCAGCAUGUUCCCAUUGGCAGAGAGAAUCAGUGACCUUCCCAUAGUUGCCAGUGAAUGAACAGAGCUGGGCUGUGAACUGUCCCAUCUGACUCCCAGGCCCACGCCCUGCCACAGCCUACCCCAGCCCACCCAGGGCUGCCUAACACUGCUCUUAGGGCAGGAACUUUUGGGCUGGGAGUGUGUGGGGCCCACCUGGUCCCUGGAGUUUUCCCUGCUGCAGGUACCUGUGACUAUAUCCCUGGAUUGUACUUCCCUAGGGUAGGCGUGUCUCUUCCCCCAUCCCAUUACAGUGCAAGUGCAAAGCUCUGGGGGUCACACAAGGCUCCUACAGCUGUAUUUAUGCCAGCUGUGUUUAUGUGGCAGACCCUCUGACUCUCUUUUGGGGGAUGAAGAGAUAGAGGGCCAGAGCAGAGAGGGACCUGCUGAGGCCACAAGAUUGGACACAGUUUGUUCUCAGAUGUUUGAGUGCUGGCACCAUGCCUGGCUUGUCACUUAGCUUAUUUUAAUAUUUUUUUAUUUACCUAUUUGAGAGGCACACACAUCUGCCUUCAACAGCCAGAGCGUGGAGUUGGAAACCCAAUCCAGGACUCCCUUGUGGAUGGCAGCCACCCAGCCACUUAGAUCACCCUGGGAGCCAUUCCUGCUGCCCCCUGGGGUGUGUAUUAGCAGAAAGCUGGAAUCAUGAGUUCAGCCAGGGCUCAAUCCCAGGCAUAGUGAUCUGAGAAUGGAUGUCUCAGGCAGUGUUCUAACUACUAAGCCAAAGACCCAUCCCUAGCAUGUCACUUAGAUGUUGGUGGCAUGGUCCUUCUGUGCAUGGAAGAUGACUCAGGUCCUGGGUUAGGGGCCAGGCCUAUACCUGCUUGUCACAGCAGUCCCUGUGGCCUAGCUCUGGUCUCAGCAGCAGUUGUGUUGAAGGGUUCUUGCUCACCCCCUCUCAUGCUCUUAGCCUCCUCUCGCUUUCUCCCACAGAGCCUCCUCCAGCCUGCGGAGCUCCUGCUGCCCUUACUCAGUCAAAGCCUGGAGAUGUCAGGUGGGGUAGGGUAGGCAUCUCUGGGGGCAGAUCCCAGGCAUUGGGUAGUGGGGGCUGGUGGGUAAGUGGCCCAGCCCUGCCAGCCAAGGUGCAGUUCUAGGAGGCACCUGCAGGCUGGGGGAACCCUGACAAAAUGAAGCCCCCAUUGCCUGUACCCAUGACCUCAGUAACCCCCUUACAGUAUGACCUUUUCUCCUUCUUGUCUUUCUCUUCCUACCCCUCACUCCUACCUGCUGAGAUUCCUCCCCACUAAGCUAUACAGGCCCAGAAUCAGGAAGACCUAAGCUAAGGAGCGCCCUCGGCUGUCCCUGCCCUAGCUCUUUGCAGGGUGAAGGGCCCUUGAGAGCACCCCAGCCCUGCCAUGUUAGUGUGGGAAACCAAGGCUGAGCCAGGGACUGACUCGUCCAUAGUCUCUUAGCACUAGGGCAGGACUAGAACACAGCGCUGUGGACCCCAGACUCAGAUCCUGAACGACACACAGAUCCUUGCCUGCCCCCGGGCUUGGGGGCUUGGUGGCAGGAGGGGAAAUGUGAGCUAUAAUGUGCUGCACACCUGUUAUAUGCCAAGCCCCUCAUCUUGUGGUCUACAUUAGGGAUGUGGAAGUAAGCUUCCACGAAUAGACAUUGUCUGUAACCCCAGGAAUGCUCUCUUGCUCCUAAACGUCUUUACUGUGUCCUGUGUCUGAAAGUCCACUGUUAGAAGUUCGCACCUUUGAAAGGAGGCAGGUGCUCAUCAGAGUCAUGCCCUGGCAUUCUGGCUGGGUAAAAGGUGCCUGCUGUUAGGUGCACAUCGUUUCAGAACAGUGGGUGUUAAGGGCUCAGCCAACAGUCCUAGAAGGAAUGGGUGUUGAGGGAUGAGUUUGGGAAGGAAAACUUAGACCUCUAGGAAGAGAAAGAGGAAGGUACGUUGGGAAGGAUGGAGAGAAAGGAAGCGCGUGAGCAUGUGGAAGCAGGCAGAAGGAGCGAGGCUCUAGGAAGCUGGGGGAUCUGAUUCUGACGCAGGCACUGGAGAGAGGACAGCAGGCAUCUGAGGCAUCCAGAGACUCUGAAACCCACUCAGCACCAGCGCCUUUGGGCAGAGCGCUCAGCCCAGCAAGGAAGAUAGGGUACAGCAGGGGUGACUGUGGGAGGGCAAGAGCCUUGGUGCCGUAUUCUAUGACUGAUGUGAAGAUUAUGGCCACCCCUGCCCAUCACUCAGGAUCCUGGAGCUUGGAUGUCAGCCUGAGAGAAACUCCAUCCGAAUCCAACAGGACUGUGGCUUCGCAGACUCUGUGACUCCUGUUGAAUGGUCAGGGGUUCAUCUCCAAAGGGCCGGAGCACAUUACUGGGGAUCCUGAGGUUGUAUUGUGAGAAGAGCUACUGCAGCUCUGCUGACCCUCCACUCUCCUCCCUGCUUCUUCUUGUUCUCUCCUCCUCUGUCACGGGUGUGAUUGAGGGCAGAAGCCAGGGCUUCUUUGUCGCUCCCCCUCUUCGUGGAGGAACGACACAGAACCCUGCGCUGUUCUUUCGUCUGCUCGGCCCUUCCCGGGUUUGCUGCUGGUUCUUCCCGGGUUGGCUACCGUCCCUCCCACCUCCGUGGAAGGGCGGUUCCCCCUGCCACUUUCCCCACUUCCGCGGGGGAGCGGCACACCGCCAGCCGGCUCUCUCGGGGGCUGCACAGAUGUUCCUUCAGAUAGAUGUUCCUGGUGCAUGUUGUCUCUCUCCUCCUUUAUAGUCCUCUUCCACCAAUCCCAACUCUGCUACCCACACGCCGAGUACGCUGCUCUCCUCCAAUCAGGAGCAGGUCCCACAGUCUAUUGGUUGAACUGGAGGCAGCUGUGUAGAAGCUGUUUCCUCCUCUCCCAGCGCCAUAUUGUGGGAGAGCAGAUGCAUAGAAUAAGUCUUAAUUCCAGUAACUUAGUCUAGUCCGAGUUGCUCCCAGUUGCUCCCCACACUUCUUGACCUUGGGGACAGGAUCAAGUGCACAGGAGGUCCUCAGGGAGAUGCUGGCUGACUGUGUGCAGCUGCUUGCUCUGGUCCUGGAGGGGCUCACGGUUCCCUGUGCUCCGACCCAGACAUCAGCCUCAGUCACAACCUGUGUGUCCCUACCUCAAGUCACACUCAAUGACCAUUUAGAAUUUGUAGCCUCUGAAAGAGUCAAGCAGAACAGGAAAGAAAACAGGUGCUUUGAUGCAGGUGGACAGGCAGUUCCACUUGAUUAGGUAGCAUCUGCAGUUGAUUAAGCAGCACUGUCAGGCUCCAGCACCACAAACCAGGUUCCAAGGGUUCCCUCAGAAAGCAGACGAGGCAUGGCAUCUCGAGGGCCUGACUGAUGAGCUCAUACUGUUACAGUGAUCCCUUUCUGUGGGAAUCUGACAUCCAGGGCUGGAGAGAGCAGUCCCUACUCCACAUGUACCAUUCUUUUUUUUUUUUUUUUAAAGAUUUAUUUAUUUGAAAGUCAGAAUUACAUAGAGAGAGAAGGAAUGACACACACACACACACACACACACACAGAGGUCUUCCAUCUGCUGGUUCACUCCCCAGAUGGCCAAAAUGGAUGGAACUGUGCUGAUCUGAAGCCAGGAGCCAGGAACUUCUUCCAGGUCUCCCACAUGGGUGCAGGGGACCAAAGACUUGGGCCAUCUUCUACUGCUUUCCCAGGCCAUAGCAGAGAGCUGGAUUGGAAGUGGAGCAGCCAGGACUUGAACUGGCAUCCACAUGGGAUGCUGGCACUGCAGGUGGUGGCUUUACCCACUAUGCCACAGCACCAGCCACCCCCCCCAUUCUUUUCUUAGGUCUUGGGCCCCGAUUUUGUAUCUUGGAGGUGUGAUCAAUGCUUAUUUGAAUCUGAUCAUAGUCUUGUUAUAAUAAUUAACAAAGUGAUGGCCAAAUGUUCUGAGAAUUGGAGGAACCAUUAUUAGGCACAUUGGUAUUUAUUUUGUAAUUAGGGCUAGGAGAAAUGUCCGAUUAAAGACUUUCUAAGUUCUAUGACCAGCUGCCCCAACCAUAGAUGGAGCAGCAAUGAGAUAGCAUCACAUUGCUUACCUGCUCAGUGUUAGGGACACGGUAGGGAUUCACUCAGAAAUCAUGAAGUGGAUAGAUGAAUGCACAGCCUCAGUCAAGAGCAAAACAGAAUCCAAGCACUGUGACUUCUGAGGGUUGCCUCUGUGACUUCAGCUCCUUUAAAGCAUCAGUGUUUGCUGGGGGUAGACAUCUGUGUCAUUGCAGAACUGUACUUUGUUUAAAUUUCCCUUGGGACAGAGUGGCUUCAGUUGGAAAUACUUGUAUAGAACAAGAGAUGUGGUGAAACCUGACAAGUCCCCAACUCCCAAGUCCUGUAAAAUGCAGAGUGCCCUGGGGGACAGGAGAUGGUGUGAAACAGUGGGGAAUCUGAAGCUUUGGAGCCUGGUAGCACCAGGUUCAGAUCCCACUGUUUUGCUGUGUGACUUCAGAUAUGUCUCUUAAUCUCUUGGAUCUCAGUUUCCUAAUCUGUGUAGUGGGGCAGUUCAGUACCCUCAUGGGAAGACUGAAGAUGGCAUGAGCAGGUACUCCAGUGCCUGGCUGUGGGAGGUCACAGUUGAACUAAAUACAAUUGCCCCUCCCUCAGGACAGCUCCCAGGGGAAGAGUAAAUACAGAGCAAUGGGCAGCAAGGGUGACAUCACAGUCAGACGCAUCUGUGAAAGGGGGCAUGUGGAUAUACAGCCUGGCUGAGUGCCAGUUUGUCUGUCAGUGGCACCUCUGCCCAAAGGGUGCCAACUUCCUUGUGUGGAUAGUGCUUUACAGUGAGAACAGCACAGUCACACGUGGUCUCAGCUCCCUGGAAGCUUCUCUCCACAUCAGAGCAGACAACCCCAGAGUGAGAAGGUCCAUGAAUGGAGCAGAUGGGCCGAAGUUUACUAUGGAGCAGCACCUUCCCUCUUAGAAGGUAGACACUGCUGUCUCAGAACACGCACUCCUGUGCUAGGUUGCGGUGGAUGCUGUCUAGGACAGAGGCCACACGGAAGAGUCGUUGGAGCAGAACAUAAGCACGUGUGUGUUUUUGAUGGGUGGUGCCUUCCACAGGGAUUGUGUCCUCCACGAUUUCACUUCACCAGGGAGCUGGGCGAGUCCCUGCCACAGGCUACAGGAGGUCACCAGGCGUUCUCACUUUGCUCAGUCUGCGGGGGAAAGGAGGUCAGCAACCUACAGAGGAUGCAGCACUGACUUAGGAAAUAGAUGUUUCCAAAAAAGUGGAGAAGAUCGUCAGAGGCUUUUUAAUCAGCACAACCGGACUUCAUACUGACUGUUCUGUUUUCCUAACAGAACUUGACCUCCUCUUCCGUGGUCUAUUUAAGCAUUAUCUGUAAGCUCCGAGGGCACAAGGUGUUAGGUUCCACCCCUUAUCCGCAACAGUAACAUUUUGAUUUUAGAGACAGAGUAAAAGAAGAAGACUGAGACCGAAGUAUUCAGCAUUUCAAGGGGAGCCCCCAGCCCAGGCUUGGCCAGGUUUGUAGGAACUCAGCUUCCCAGAGGGAUUGGAGUCUGAGCAAAGCCAACCAUUAACUUCCAAAUUGAUUUUCAAACCAAAAUUGGAACAGUUCUCAAAUGCUCCCAGGAUUUGGGGCUAUUAAUACCGAAGAACACUGAGAAGGAAAAAGUGAGUGUGUAAGGGGUGAUUUAUGGCAGAGAGGAAGUUGCAAGCCCAGGACCUUGUAUGUAACCCAAUCAGAGACCCCUCUGGAGCUGUUCCAGGGAGGAGAUGGAGAAUGUAAGGGGAGAGGGUUUCCAAGGGAUAUUAAACCUCAUAAAAGGAGGCGAUGUGGGCCUUGGGCCUGAAAUGAGCCAGCGAGGAGUUGAUCAUGUUGAACUUCUCAUAAGCACAGCAGGUUUUUGUGCAGCUGUCAUCGGUGCCUGAGACACCCCCACGAGCCCUUCCUUUUAUUUAUUUCUUACCAUUAGUUCAUCACCAAGCAGGUUAAAUGGCAGGAAGAGAGUCUUCCCACCAGCGUGUGGGACUGACCCCUGCUGCUGAUACCGAGCGUCACAUCUCAGGUGUCAGUUCUUGAGGCUCGGGCGUUGUGGCUCCAGCUGCUAACCGGUUAAGACCAGCCAUGGCCAAGCUGGAGUGGACGUGCACAGGAGGGUGAGGCUGGCCAGUCAGAUCCUGGCUGGGUGUUCUAAGGAUGGAUACCCAAUCUCACCCUUUUCCCUUGUAGUUCUUGGAAAAGGUGUUCGUUAUUAGUUACUGCUCUGCUCAGGUAGAAUUGAUACAUAAAUAAAUUGUAAUAUUUAAGGUGCUAAAUUUGAUGUUUUUUGACAUGGAUAUACCAAAGAAACUGUACUCAUAAUCAGGAUGGUAAAUAUAUCCAUCACUUCCCCCACUGCGAAGUCUCUCAGGCCUUCUUAAGUCCUUCUCUCCCUCCCUCUGUCCCUGCCCCCUACUCCACCCCCAACAAAACAAUGAUCUGGUUUCUGUCGCUACAGAUUAUGUACAUUUUCUAGAAUUUUUAAUAAAUUGGAUUGUACAGUGUGUAUCUUUGUCUAGCUCCUUUCAGCAUAAUUAUUUUGACAUUCUUCCAUGUUAUUGCACAUACCAAUAGUUAUUUCUUUUUGAGUAGGAUUCCAUUGUAUGAAUAUACCACAAUGUGUUCAUUCAUUCACCUGUUGAUGGGCAUUUGGGUUAUUUCCAGUUUGGGGCUAUUACAAAUACAGCUGCACUGAACAUUCAUGUGUAAGUCUUUGUGUGGAAAGGUACUUUCAGUUCUCUUUGGGUAAAUACUUAAGAGUAGAAUGGCUAUGCUGUACGGUAGAUGUGUGUUUAAGUUUCUAAGAGACGGCCAAACUCUUGUCCCAGCUGACUCACCACCACCCUGUCUCCUCUGCAGACAUGUGUGAGUUUCAGGUGCUCCAGGCGCUCUCUGACACUUCCUGUGGACACUUUAAUUUCAGCAUCUUCUUUGGUGAAAUGUCUGCCUACAUCUCUUCUCACUUUUUAAAAACUGGAUUAUUUGUUUCUUUGUUACUGAGUGGUAAGAGUUCCUUGUGUAUUCCAGAGAGAUAUUCUGCAAUUAUUUUCUGAGUCUAUGACUUGCCUUUUUAUUGCCAUUAGAACAUCUUUUAAUGAGAAAAUAUUUUAAAUUUUGAUGAAGUCCGAUUUGUUGUUUUAUUUUUAAAUAGUGUGUGCUUUUUGUACCUUUUAGGAAAUCCUUGCCAUCCCCAAGGUCAUUAAGGUUUUCUCUGGGGUUUUCUUAUGCAAGUUUCAGAGUUUUAGUUCUUUCAUUUGGGUCUAUUAUCUAUUCAAAUUAAUUUUAAAAAUUAUUUAUCUUAUUUAUUUUAAAGGCAAAGAGAGAGACAGACAGACACGGACAGAUGGUCAGAGAUCACCCAUCCACUGGUUCACUUGCUAAAUGCCUGCAGCAGCCGGGUCUGGGCAUACUGAAGCCAAGAACCAGGAAUACAGUCCAGGUCUUAUAUACAUGGCCCAAAGCCCUGUUAGCAUCGCACUCAAAGCAGCCACUACCGGUUGAAUGGAAUCGAGGCUAAAGUCAAGCUGCCGUACCCCUCCGAUCUAGCAUCCUGUCUGCGCCUCUGCCACGGGAGAGAGAAGCCCUGAGGGGAGAACAGGCAAGUUCAUUGACAGCCUGGGCGGGGCUGCAGCGUCCAGCAGCGGCCCCUCAGAUCCUUUGUACUGCAGGUGUCCGGGUUGGCGCGAUGGAACAUUCCAGUAGCGGUGGAGAUGCACUUGAAAGGCGGGAGAGCUCUAGGCCUCCACCUUGGCGGCCCUGGCGGGGACGUCUGUCCUGGGAUGGGGCGCCUCACAGGAAGCCCGGCAGCCGCGACUGAGGGGAGCAGCUCUACUUACACUCCCACCUCCCACCAGUCGCUGAGCCAUGGCUGGGGCUGGGGCCGCCACCUGGGACAAGGGGCCAAGGCCUGGACAAUUAGAACGUCAGCCCCAGUGUUGACCUCAGACAGCAAAGAGAGCUUUUUAUUCUAGAAACGUUCAAGCUUCUGCAGAAGCCAAGAGAGCAGCGUAAACCACCCACGUGCUCGUCAUCAGCCUCGACAGGGAUCAACCCUCGCAGUCUCGUUUCUCCUCCUCUGCCCCACAGGCCACAAGGCCUGGCUACAGCACACCAGGAAGGCUGCUCCCAGGCAGCCUCCCCCCUCCCCCCCCCAGCAUCUUGAGCCACAGUUAAGGCGAAACUCUCCCUGGGGCGUCAGCUGUGUGCGUUCCCCCCACUGGAGGUGACGGAGCUUGGCGUGGCCCCUGAGCGGCCCCGGGUGUGGCAGGGCACUCAUUCCAGGUCCACACGUUCAAGGUGGGUGUCGGGUCCCCAGUGCAGUCACCCAGGGACAGCCAGGAGGCCCCGGGCAGGCCGGGAUCGCAGCCAGGCUAGCACUGAAGGCUGAGCUUUGGCGCCGGGGCCAGUGGGGAAAGGCAGUGGAAGGAAUGUCUUCUGGGAAUUGUCGAGGCCUGGCCUGGGGCUGAGCUGGGGGAAGCCCACGUGUCUUCAGAAUGUUUCCUUAUGACCGGUGGAAAAACCCGUGAGAGCGAGCAAGCGAGCGGGCGGACUGUGGAUUUGGAGGAGGGGCUCCCUGCCUGCCCAAGAGCCUGGGCCGGCCCUCGCCACAGCCGCGGCUAGGUGGGCUCACGCACCAACCCCCUUCCCUUGCCUUCUAGAAUAUGGCCUUUGCUGUGCUUAAUGUUGGUAACGUGCCACGUCACGGGAUAGUGUUUCCACUUCGGUUGCAAGACUAUCCUGCCAAGGUGAUUUUAUUCUACAAUGUGGAAAACUCCAUAUUGAGUAGAAAAUAACAGAAAACAGACUUUGCUUCACAGGCCGAAGCUUGUGGUGAAGCUGAGAUCUCAACUCACCACUCUUUCCAUGGCAGUACACUAAAGAAUCCUGAUGUCGCUUAAGGCGCCCCGGCCCCAGGCCACACCAGCUGCCAGUGCUGCCCCGGCCGGCUGCCCCCAGAGCCCGCUGAGCCUGGCACUGGCCUGCUUCUGCUGGAGGAGCCGGAGUCAGCCUUGACUGCUACUCGUGGGCUCUCCAGCUGCAUGCAGGUCCUAGACCAGCCUCUGCCCGGAUCACCACCAACUGCUCUCCCCCCCAAGUUAAAGAACUUCGAUAAGCUGACGAUGCGGCUACAGCUCAGCCUAAUUGCAGGUUCUUGGCCCCAGCCCGAAGGGGCCCCAGAAGCACGGGGCCCCAGACUCUGCAUCUUGGUCAGCUAACCUCGCCUGAAUCCCCGAGGCCUCCCUGCUGAGAGCCACAUCUUGGCAGAGAGAGGACCAGGCUCUCUGGUUGGAAGUCCUGAGUUUGAAUCUCAGCUUAGAUCGAACUUCACCUUCCUGAACUUGAGUUUUCUCUCUUUUUUUAGAUGCAUACUUACAUGUAGUUUGUUUUUCUUGUUAAGUAAUUUAUUUAUUUCACUUUGUUUGAAGGAGAGAGACAGGGGCCGGUGCUGUGGCACAGCGGGUUAAUGCCCUGGCCUGAAGCGCUGGCAUCCCAUAUGGGCACUGGUUUGAGACCCGGCUGCUCCACUUCCGAUCCAGCUCUCUGCUAUGGCCUGGGAAAGCAGUAGAAGAUGGCCCAAGUCCUUGGGCUCCUGCACCCAUGUGGGAGACCCGGAAGAAGCUCCUGGCUCCUGGCUUCGGAUCGGCUGGCUGUUGCGGCCAACUGGGGAGUGUACAUCAGAUGGAAGACCUCUCUCUCUCUCUCUCUCUCUCUGCCUCUCCUCUCUCUGUGUAACUCCAACUUUCAAAUAAAUAAAUAAAUCUUUAAAAAAAAAGAAAAAUGAAAAGAGAGAGACAGAGAUAUCUUCUAUCUGCUGGCUCACUGCCCACAUAUCGAUAAUAGCCAGGGCUGGGGAAGACUGAAGCCAGGAACCCAGAACUCCAUCCACGUCCCCCAUGUGAAUGGCAGGGACUCACCUGCUGCCUCUAAGGGUGCGCAAAAACAGGAAGCUGGAAUUAGAAUUAGAAGUGGAGUCAGGACUCGAACCCAGGCCCUCCGAUAUGGGAUGCACAUGGGAUGCCAAGCAGCGUCUUAAGCAUGGCACCAAAUGCCUGCCCCUGAAGCUGUCCUUUACCCAAGAAUUUAGAAGCUCACAGAGAAUCCAGUCUCACCUGUACAGGUGAGAAGAAGGGUCAGGUUUCAUAAUGGAUAAAAUUAUAUUUUCUCCCUCAAAGUGAUCUUUUCUACACCAUGAAAAACAAAUCCCAUCUUAUAAACCUAUCAUGUGGAAGGACUGGUAUUGUUUCUGUUUUUCCAAGUUGCGAGCAUCUAUUUGGGCUGCUUUGAUUUAAAAUACAAGUGAAAUGGUUCCGUGCCCAUUAGAUAACUGGCCAUGAAACGGGAAAAGAUGGGACACAGUAGCAACACAAAUGGAAGGGCCCGCGUGCUCGCACUCUUGCUGUAGCAGAGUCGCCCAGGAGAAUGGGCUGCUAGGUGCACGCACUGCAGGCCCCCGUGAAUGAGAGAGAAGUCUGGGAGUCAGAGCCUUGGGACUCGGGCUCUUCCUGUCAUGGCAGCCAGCAAAAGACCUGCACAGACAACAGUCGGUGGUUCUCAUCUGAGCCCCAGCCUGGGCGGUGCCAGCACACAGGGUGGACCUGGCCGACGGCUUGCCAGGUGCUUCUUACAUGGACACGUGGAUCUUUGUGUCAACAUGCAGAAAUCGUUUGAUUUCAGCCAGUGAAUGUCUCUCCCUAGUCAUGUCAGCCCGGUCAGCUGGCUCACUCGCCUGCUCGCCUCCAUGUUGCUGGGAGCGGGACGGAGCCGGCAGAGAUGAGCUGAUGAUGCUUCUCUGAAUUUGAGUGCAGGCUGCAGGAGAAGAGCGUGACCCUGUCCAGGGCCCGCCUCAUGGCUCGCAUGAGACCUGGCAUGUGCGGGAGAACCUGCCGCGGGAGAGAGCCCUCGGGCGUGCCUGUGAGCUGCUGUGUUCCUGUGGCCGGGCGCGGGGACAGCCUCAACAGUGCCCUAAGCAGCAGAAUCCCGCUGGCUCUUUUCUCUCUCCAGUGCUGCCUGCCCUCAGUUCAUGGAGGCCCAGGAACACCAAGGACCUGCUCCGUCACCAAGGACAGAAGCCUUCUUUCCAUUACCCCUGACCUGCAAGUGCUUCCAGGCACAGUCGCACUGGUCCAGCCCCCUGUGCUCCCACCUCGCGGCUGGACUGCCUUCUGCCGCCUCUCAGGGUAGGCACCCCUAGAUGGCCACUGGCCUCUGGAGCCUGGGCCUUUCCCGUGGCUGACUUCCAAGCCUUGUUGGUUCUCCCUCGAGAUUUUCACCUGGCUCCAUCUUCCUGACCUACAUGGCCACUGACCUUUCUCACCGGGACCCUCAAAACCACCUGCUCUCUGGGCCCGGGUUUCUGGUACCUCCCCCAUACCCGGGGAUCCGGCAACCGGCAUGCUUCCCGGCCCCUCCGAGACCCAGUUUGCCUGGAAAACUUUCCAUGUCUUUGUUAGUCUGGACCGGCAGUUGUUGGUGAUUUUCUGAUGGAAUUGGAUCGCCUUUUGUUCUGAAGUUUUCUCAUUGUUCCCCCUCCCUGUGGAUUGUAGACAGCAUCUCCCACCAGGCAUACCCUGCUGUUUUUGUGAAAAUUACAGGCUUCAAAUAGCUGCUUAAGUCCACUGCCAGCCAGGGUACAGUCUUCGGAGGGAAAGUUCCAGCUGCUGAACGGGCCUUGAGGCUUUAUUUCUGGAGGAAAGAGUUCAUUGAGUGAAAAACGGAGUCUUUCAGGGCCCCCAGCUCCGUUCUCGUGGUCCGAUGUGCCUGGGACUUGCCCUGAGGUACUUUGUGGCUUAAGCUGGGUGCCUCCCUCGGUCCAAAAUACUUCAACUCAGCCUCACCCAAAGACAGGCUCCUCCCCAGCGUCUGCGCCAGUCGAAGCUGCCCAAGAGCCGGGCUCAAACCGCACCUGCCGCUUGCACCUGGGACAACCUGUGUCUCCACAGAGCAUUCUGGAAACCACUGAAGUGGUGCACGACGCGUGCUCAGCUGCCCUGUCUCUGCCUCCUGCUUGCCUCCCUCGGAGGCCCCCUGCCUCACUCUGCAAAGCAACUCACAGACGCAGCGACCAUCCUGGGUGGCCGCCACUUGGAGGGGCUCUGUAUUCUAGAACACGCCCAGACUCAGGCACCCCCCACAAAAUGUACCCAUCCCACGGCCCCCUCCCACCAAACCCUGCCAUCAGCCGGGCUGUGUUUCUGGCUCACAAGCAGCUGUUGCUCAGAGUUAGCGUCGCCAACUGGCAGCAGCACAUCCGGGGAGCGUGGUAGAAACGCAGACGCUCAGGCCCGGCCCAGCCCUUCCAUGCGGCAGUCUGCAGUGUACCAAGAUUCCCGUGUGGUCCUGGUGCGCGUUCAGACCCCAGCAGCGCUAACCUGGUAUGCAUUCUGCCCUUCCCGGCAGCUUCGGUACUGCUAAUGCUACGCCUUUUGCAGUAAUGGGACCUGUAGUUCAGCAUUUCCUACUUUUAGAGAGCUUUUUCAUGAACAGGAAUUUGUGUGAGUUCCUGGAGGCGCCGGGGACCUGGCUGACUCCUCUGAGGACCCAGCUCAGGCCUGGCAUGGGACAGCUGUUUAAUUAGUAGCUGAGCAAAUGACUAAAUGCACAGCCGCUGAGGGAGACGGGAUGGGGAAGGCAACUCAGGCUCCAGCGGGUCAAGACUGGCUCCAGUGUAGUGCACAGCGGUGGGACCGAUGGUCCAGCCCCGGCUUCUAAGUUUGCACUUGCAGUGAGCAAAGUUCACUCACAGAGUGGGGAGGUUUGCCUGUGCUCUGUGGCAGGGAGGUGAGAGCCCCCACGCAACCUUCCCUGCGGGUUCUGGAUUCCAGUGCUACUGCAAGGCCCUGUGUGGAAAGCCGCCCUGCUCUGGGGGCCAGCCUGCGCCAGGGCACGGAGCACAACCCCACAGGAGCCUCCACUGUGCACCCAGCGACAGAGAUCCCGGGUCCAAGGGCGCUGCCUCCUCGGAGCCUGUCUCUGUGGGAAACCACAUGGGGGCUGUCCUGGGAGACCGAGCACUUAUUUUUUGUCCCUGUACCCCCAUGCUGGAGGAGUGUGGUGAGGCAGGGCUUCCUGAGAAUGCUUUCUGUGUUGUGAAGCUGAGGGAGUUGGAAGCUUUUACCCAGGGCCGCAGCCAUACACACGGAGCCGGGCAGGUGUGUCAGCGCACGGAGGGGCACUGGUGGGCUGGAUGCCCUGAGCUGGGCACAGUCACCAGGAAGGGCAGGGGACCUGCACUGCAAACCUUGACCGUGGGCGUGCACCACGCCUCCUGGGGACUGACUGUACGGACAUGCAGGUGAGGGUGUUGCUGCUCCACAGCUUCCUCCUGCCCCCGUACAGGCCUCGGAGAAGAUGGGCACCUGCUUGGGGGAAGGAGCAGGGAGAUAGCUGUCUCUCCCUGAGUGGUACACUCUCUGCUGUUUUCCAAUCGCUGCCUGUCACCCAGUGGGGCAACAGCAAGCACUGCCCACUGCCCUGGCUUGCAGUGGUGAGACCACCCGGGGAGGGAAUAGGCAGUUGGUGAGGUGGGGGUCCCAGUGCGUGGCCCUCCCCGCCCCUGCACCCACACUGGGUAAAGGCAGGUGGGUGAAGGGCAUCGUGUUGGUGGGGUAACGGCAAUGCUGGAGCACUUCCUGCACCAGCACUCUUUGGCACACGUCACAGGCACUCAUUAGUUCCCUGCCCUCACCUCGGGCAUAGGGAGGCCUUGUAGUUACCCCAUUUUAUAGAAGAAACAAAGGAGGCGCAGGGUCACACACUGCUGGGUGGACGAGCCCUUCUAACAAGAGCUUCUUGGUAAUUAGCAAGGAGAAGGCCAUGCGGCCCUGUCCCGGGCAGCAGAUGGAGCUGCACAGAAGGGCCAGCUGGGCCACCCUCUGCUCGGCGCCCUGGGCUCAGGCUUGGGGUUCAUAAGCUACGUCCUGGUGAGACGAUGCUGAGGGGCAGGCUCACAGGUCUGGGCUGCACCUGCAGCUCAGGUGAGCAUCCUGGGGGCCUGGAGCUCCCGAGGAGGCUGAGUGGGGCUGAGAUGAGGAGGGAAGGACUGCACUGGGUAAAGACAGGGGUGCACCUGAUGGUGCCACGGAGCCCGUGUUCCCAGUGGAUCGUUCUCCAGGUAACUCUGGGCGGAGCUGCCAACCCCAGAUGGGCUCUUCCCUGCGGUCUCUGCGUGAGCCACUGUGGCAGGGACGAAGUGGGUGGAGGUUGCAUUCAGGUUCCUGGAGCUUGGCCAGCGGCCCCCACCCUGGCCAGGCUGACGCAGCUCCCUGCAAGAUGGGCAGUGAGUGGACAAGCUGGAGGAGGGCUCCCCUUGUCUUCGAUGGCCUUUCCAGCCCUGUCCCCACCCCACGCAGGGCCUGCCCCUCGUGUGCUGUGACAGACACUUGUAGCUGUGGGGGGACUUAUGCCUGGGAGGGGGAGGGAGGCUGUGACUGGCUGGAGGUGACCUCACCUCUCGGAACUCUCUCCAGAGGAAAUGUUUGGGCACCAGGGUGUUGGCAGGAGAAACAGCAUCUGGAGGAGAAAACAAAUUUCUUAAAUUACUAAUCCAUUAGUUCUGUGCUAAUGCUUCCUGAAAGAAAACUUCCGAGUCGGAUGACGCAGCCUUUUCUCACUCGGAACCACUCGCACCUGUAAUUACGCCCCUGUAAUUAGGAAGCUGUGCCUCCUCAAAGCUGCAGCCCGUAUGACAAAGCCGGAAGAGCCGGCUUGAUCAGAACACCGCUUUCUGAGCCUAACACCGGGUUCGCAUGCCUGUGCUGUGAUGUAGUCUUGUGCUCUGGGCUGCUCCAGCUGUGUCUUUCCUGGCUUUUACUGGGAAAAGGCAGAUUCCUGUGCGAUCUGAUUCUUUUAUUCCUGUCAACAACAAUGCUGUUAGCUACUCAGAGUGCCUGAGAUUCUACCUUCCCAGUCCCCGUGAUGGCCACCGCCUGGACCCCUUGCCACCUGGUGGUGAGGAGCAGCCUUCUUUUCCUCGGUGACGAUCUUACCUGCCCCCCCCCCCCAGCUCCAGGAUGUCCAGCAGGAUCCUCAGGGUGGGGGGAAGCAGAACCAAGCACAGUCAUUGAGAAACCUGGCAGAAGACUCCACUCCCCCCUCCUCCAGGCACACACUGGUGUACUGGCUUCAGCUGGCUGUGGGCAGCAGGUACAUGAUGAUCUGGGUUCAAGAAGAGAAUAAAGGGCAACAUUGGUCACAGCAGUCAAGGCCGUGCUUGGGAUGCCUGCAUCCCAUAUUCAAGCUGCAGCUCUCUUCCUGCUGAGGUGCACCCUGGGAGACAACGAUGAUGGCUCAAAUGAUGGCUCACAUUGCCAUUCAUGUUGGAGACCCAGAAUGAGUUUGGCUCCUGCUCCAGCCUGCUGCAACCUUAGCUGUCCUAGGUAUCUGGGGAGUGAGCCAGCAGCUGGGAGAUCUCUGUCUCAAAUAAAUUAAGUAAACAUACGCAGGCUCCUCCCUGAAUCCCCUGUGCUGCACCAAGGGCAGGUUCAACUCAAAGACCCCGUCAUGCUCUGACCUCUUUGGUUCUCAUCCCUUCCCACCUUCCCACCUCGGUGUGAGCGAGUCUGUCCUUUCCAAACCUCUCUUCCACUACAUGGCUGGCUCUGCUUUCUCUCUGAGAGGGUUCAGGGAGCUGGCCCAGCGGUUCCAAAGGAGAGCUUGUCCUACAAAUAUCUCCCAGUAGAAUGGCAGGCCCUUAUUCCACCUGUACUAGCAACAGUCACAGGUUACAAACCUGGGGUUCAGGCAGUGGGAAGUUCUGGACCCGCAAGCACGGAGUCUGAGACUAUUUGCCCCAAGCCCCUGCAGGAGAGCAUUCUGUCGAGAGCAGAGUUUCUCUGCCUUGUCCCCUCCGUGCCUCCCGCAGGAGCAGAUUUAGACAUGUUUUCUCCGGUCACCCCUCCCCCAGAAAGUACACACCAGAGAUGAGGACUCUUACGAGCUCAUGGAAAAUAUGUGUUAUGGAACAGCUAUGCAUGGAUUUCAAAAUGUUUGUAGCAAAUGAACUUCAAUGCCAUUUUCCGUGGGCCUUUGCAAGUACCUCCCACCCCAUGUGUCCAUGUACGUACCGCGGCCUUCUGGAGGGCACAUUGUGCUUUCUGCCCACCAAGAGCGAGUUUGGGUGCUCCGUGGGAAAGCACGCUCUGCAGCCCAUGCCUGGUGGGUAGCUAUGCGGCUACUGCUGGGAUGCCACUAGCGCCAGGGAGCUCACUCCCUGCUCCUCGGAGGGGCAGCUGGGGCCAACCUGGCCUGCCUGCCGUGUGGUCCUCCUGCCUCCCACUCCUCUUUGUGCUUUGGGUGGUUACAGAGAACAUGCUGACCCUUGAGCAAGCAGUGAGCGAUUACUGAUGCCACAUCUGUCACCCCAGACUGUCUCGUGCCAAGGCUGGUCCACACCCAGAGCAGACGCUGAGGUCUUUGAAAAAUGUACUGGGGUGAAUUGUUCCCAAAUAUAUUGCAGUCCUAACCCUGGGUCCCAGUGAGUGUGGCCUUAUUUGGAAACAGGGCUUUGCAGAUGUAAUUAGUUAAGAGGAAGUCACGUUGGAUUGGGGGUGGAGGGUGCUGACCUAGUAACUGGUGUCCAGGUCAGAGAAAGGAGAGGGAGAUUCCUUCACAAACAGCCAGGGAGGCAGGUGAGACCAGAGUGACCGUCCCACUAGCCAAGGACUGCCAGCUGUCACCAGAGGCUGGAAGAGGCAAGGGAGGAUCUGCCCGAAGGCUCAAGGGGUGCUUGCCCUGCUGACACCCGGACUGCACGUGUGCAGCGUCCAGACCGGGGCUGGAGUGUGUUCCCGUGGUUUCCAUCACUCGGCUGUGGCAUCUCCUUCGAGCACAGCCAGCAGUCUGCAGGUGCAGCCACAGGGAAGCUGAGGUCGGGGCCUCUCUCCCUAUUCUUGUCUCCAGGCAGACUUUGUGGAAGUGACUUGGGGGUGCUGCUGGGGCUCUGACAUGGUCUGACCUCUGGCUUGGAGGGGGUGUAUGGAGACUGGCUCUCAUGGCCCCUAGCAGGCUUCACUUCAUGGAACCUUCUGGAGCCUUCACUGCCUCUUCCUUGAAUGGAAAGCAAUAACCAGGCACAGGCUCACACGCCAAAGCUGUAUUCCUGGCAUCAACCCUGUGAGUCAGUGGAGAGGAAGUGUGUUCAGGGGGGUGACGGAAGUCAUCCCAAACCACACAGGUUACAGUCAUGUGGGAGGGAGCGGUAUCUUCGAAGAAUACCCCUGUCAACCUCUUGGCACCUGCUUCCAGCUCCGCUGUGGGGUGGGGUGAUGCUGGUACCCAUGCCUAGGCUGACAUGAGGAUUAAAGAAGAGUCUAGCACCACGCCUGGCACAGCGUAGCAAUGAAUAUAAACAUGCCUGCUACUGUUAGGAUAAUUCUCCUUGUAGGAUAAUUCUCCUUGUAACAAGAACAGUUGUUUAAAAGAACAACCUUAAAGUGGUGCUCAGUAGGAAGAGGAACAAACCUUCACAGACACAGAAUAGCUCGAACGGAUCUGCAGAGAAGGAUGCCAAGCCCAGGAGGCUGCGUGCUGUGUGGUUCCCCUCGUGUGAUGUUCUGGAAGUGAGGGGGUGCGGGUUAGGAGUGGCCGGAGGGGAGGGGAGGAGCAGAGGGAAGUGGGUGUGCUCAGGCCAGGGCAGUGGAAAGCCUUUGGAACUGCUCUGCAUCGAGGCCGACCUGUGCAAGGGAUAAAGCUGCCGUGACUAACACACACACACACAGACACACACACACAGACACACACACACACGCAGGUGGAACGAGGGAAAGGUGAGCAGAUCAGUGGCUUCCAAGGGUGGGAUUUCCCUGGCCAGGGUGCUGGGCCACGGCUUUUCAAGAUGUUCUUCUUGAGUCUCUAUUAUUUCUUAGGGCUGCAGGAGACUCCAGUUUUCUCCAAACAAAACGUUUAAUUUAAAAAAUAGUCCACUUGGAAAGUAGAAAUGUAAGCGAAAUAAAUUGAAGAGCCUGUGUUUCCAUUUCACAA